AAGCACAGUAAACUGCUUGUGUGCAUUAAGGCCAAGCUUUCUGUUUAUUCUGUUUCCCCAUUAAGAAGUAAAGUUUCACUCUAUCAUAGCCAACUAAUUCUGAGUCCCAGAUUGGAAAGCUGAGAAUCAAAAGCAAAUCAUCCCCAAAUUACAGCCUCAAAAUUCCAGCAAGAAAGUCCCAGGUCGACAUCAGUUGGAAACAUAAUCUGAAUUUUGCUGCAUCCAUCCACUUACUUAUAAUAAUCAUUUACAGGUGUAUGUCAUCCACAAAAUAUACAGGAGCUGUGGUGUAACUGUUGGUGUAGGUGUGUCUGCUGGGGCUGAACUUGCCAUGAUCUAUUGGUAUCUAUUCAUCUGACAGAGGACUAAUAUUCAAGGUUCACGAGAGUUAAGGAAGCAAAUGACCUAAUUAAAAAAUGGGCUAGGGAUCUAAACAGAUAUUUCACAAUAGAAGAAAUAAUGUCUAAGAAAUACCUCAAAAAAGUGUUCUUCAUCCUUAGCAACUAGAGAAUACAAAUUAUUAAAACAACUUUGAGAUUUUAGUCAGAAUGGCCAAGUUCAACUAAACAACUGACAAAACAAUGCUGAUUGUUGUAGAGGAAAAGGACCCUCAUUCACUGAUUACGGGAAUAAAAACUGGUGCACCUGCUCUGGAAAUCAGUAUGAAGCACCCUCAAAAAGCAAGCAAACAAACCCAAAAACAAGAACAAAAAAUCAACAACAAAAAUGAAAACUAAAAACAAAUCUACCACCUGAUUCAGAUCUAUCACACCUUAACAUAUGUCCAAAGGAUCCGCCAUCAUUCUUCAGAUACUUGCUCAGUCAUGAUCAUUGCUGCUUUAUUUACAAUAGCCAGUGAAUGGAAAUAACCUAAAUGUCCUUCAAAAGAUAAGUAGACAGUGAAGAUGUGUACUUAUAUACAAUGAAAUACUGUUCAGCUGGAAAGAAAAAUGAGAUCAUAACAUUUUCUGGUAAAUGGAUAGACCCAGAAAAUAUAUUGAGUGAGGUAACCUAGAUCCAGAAAGACAAAUGCCACAUGUUUAUUCUCAUCUGUGGCUUGUGGCUUGUAGAGUCAAAUCCUUACAUGUGAGGAAUGACUAUAGCAUUGAGUAAACACAGAAACUAGGAAUGUAUAUAGGGACCAUAUAUGAAGUAGAAGGACCAGAGGUCAAGAAAGAAAGAAAGAAAGAAAGAAAGAAAGAAAGAAAGAAAGAAAGAAAGAAAGAAAGAAAGAAAGAAAGAAAGAGAAGGCAGGACAAGACACAAAUAAUCCCAACCCUGUUUGAUAAAGCCUCAUAGAAUUACAUUAUUUUAUAUUCACUUAAAAUUAUACACCAAAACAUAUAUGUGUAUGUACAAUACACACACACACACACACACACACAC